rnacentral:rRNA from 1 species
AACGAACGCUGGCGGCAGGCUUAACACAUGCAAGUCGAGCGCCCCGCAAGGGGAGCGGCAGACGGGUGAGUAACGCGUGGGAAUCUACCCAUCUCUACGGAAUAACGCAUGGAAACGUGUGCUAAUACCGUAUACGUCCUUCGGGCGAAAGAUUUAUCGGAGAUGGAUGAGCCCGCGUUGGAUUAGCUAGUUGGUGGGGUAGAGGCCUACCAAGGCGACGAUCCAUAGCUGGUCUGAGAGGAUGAUCAGCCACACUGGGACUGAGACACGGCCCAGAGUCCUACGGGAGGCAGCAGUGGGGAAUAUUGGACAAUGGCCGCAAGCCUGAUCCAGCCAUGCCGCGUGAGUGAUGAAGGCCCUAGGGUUGUAAGGCUCUUUCACCGGUGAAGAUAAUGACGGUAACCGGAGAAGAAGCCCCGGCUAACUUCGUGCCAGCCGCCGCCGUAACAC